rnacentral:rRNA from 1 species
UACGUAGGGCGCAAGCGUUGUCCGGAAUUAUUGGGCGUAAAGAGCUCGUAGGCGGUUUGUCGCGUCUGCUGUGAAAACCUAAGGCUCAACCUUGGGCUUGCAGUGGGUACGGGGCAGACUAGAGUGCGGUAGGGGGUGACUGGAAUUCCUGGUGUAGCGGUGGAAUGCGCAGAUAUCAGGAGGAACACCGAUGGCGAAGGCAGGUCACUGGGCCGCAACUGACGC